UAUCCGUAGGUGAACCUGCGGAGGGAUCAUUACAGAGUUCAUGCCCUAACGGGUAGAUCUCCCACCCUAUGUUAUCAUCACUUUGUUGCUUUGGCGGGCCGUCAGGCCUCGGCUUGGCUACCGGCUCUCGCUGGUAAGCGCCCGCCAGAGAACCCCAAACCCUGAAUAUCAGUGUCGUCUGAGUACUAUAUAAUAGUUAAAACUUUCAACAACGGAUCUCUUGGUUCUG
rnacentral:misc_RNA from 1 species